CAGGACGCUUUUGGUCUGUGCCUACGUUGUAUGUGGUUUUUGCGCUAUUCUCUGCGUGUGUGUGCUUUGUUACAGGCAAGGUUCUUCCAGGGUCUCUUGCAUCAACUGUGUGAAAGAAAACUCAAAUGUCAAGGCAGCACAAGUACAGUAUGCCAGUCUCCGGUUCCUCAGACGGUCCAGAGCCGCGGCUCCUGCUCCAGUCAACGUGACCUACGCAACUAUAGCCAACCACACGUCCUGAUUUCACUGCAUUCAAUCAGCUUCAUAUUAAACAGAGAGAGUUGUAGAAGGCUACUAUACCUACACCUAUACUUUGAACUUAUGCCAAAGCCUGUGAAAAAAAAAAAAAAAAAAUGUA